rnacentral:rRNA from 1 species
GAUGAACGCUGGCGGCGUGCCUAAUACAUGCAAGUCGAGCGAACAGAUGAGGAGCUUGCUCCUCUGACGUUAGCGGCGGACGGGUGGGUAACACGUGGAUAACCUACCUAUAAGACUGGGAUAACUUCGGGAAACCGGAGCUAAUACCGGAUAAUAUAUUGAACCGCAUGGUUCAAUAGUGAAAGACGGUUUUGCUGUCACUUAUAGAUGGAUCCGCGCCGCAUUAGCUAUUUGGUAAGGUAACGGCUUACCAAGGCAACGAUGCGUAGCCGACCUGAGAGGGUGAUCGGCCACACUGGAACUGAGACACGGUCCAGACUCCUACGGGAGGCAGCAGUAGGGAAUCUUCCGCAAUGGGCGAAAGCCUGACGGAGCAACGCCGCGUGAGUGAUGAAGGUCUUCGGAUCGUAAAACUCUGUUAUUAGGGAAGAACAAAUGUGUAAGUAACUAUGCACGUCUUGACGGUACCUAAUCAGAAAGCCACGGCUAACUACGUG